rnacentral:rRNA from 2 species
UUGGACGCAAGUUGCGCCUGAAGCCAUUAGGUUGAAGGCACGUCUGCCUGGGCGUCACGC